GUCUAUGGCCAUACCACCCUGAACGUGCCCAGUCUCAUCUGAUCUUGGAAGCUAAGCAGGGUUGGGCCUGUUUAGUAUAUCACAGUCUAACUUCAAAUGAUGUAUGCU
rnacentral:rRNA from 1 species